rnacentral:rRNA from 1 species
UAGAGAAUAUUGGACAAUGGGUGAGAGCCUGAUCCAGCCAUGCCGCGUGCAGGAAGAAGGCGUUAUGCGUUGUAAACUGCUUUUGCCAGGGGAUAAAAAGACCGUGCGCGGUUAAUUGAAGGUACCUGGUGAAUAAGCCACGGCUAACUACGUGCCAGCAGCCGCGGUAAUACGUAGGUGGCAAGCGUUGUCCGGAUUUAUUGGGUUUAAAGGGUGCGUAGGUGGCCCUGUAAGUCAGUGGUGAAAUAUCUCAGCUUAACUGAGAGGGUGCCAUUGAUACUGCAGGGCUUGAGUACAGAUGAGGUAGGCGGAAUUGACGGUGUAGCGGUGAAAUGCAUAGAUAUCGUCAAGAACACCGAUAGCGAAGGCAGCUUACCAAGCUGUAACUGACACUGAGGCACGAAAGUGUGGGGAUCAAACAGGAUUAGAUACCCUGGUAGUCCCUGAGCGGGCUGGCAAGGCGCAU